rnacentral:rRNA from 1 species
GAUGAACGCUAGCGAUAGGCCUAACACAUGCAAGUCGAGGGGCAUCACAUGAAGUAGCAAUACGGAUGGUGGCGACCGGCGCACGGGUGAGUAACACGUAUGCAACCUGCCUUCAACAAGGGGAUAACCCGUUGAAAGACGGACUAAUACCCUAUAACACAGGGGUCCCGCAUGGGAAUAUUUGUUAAAGGACAACCGGUUGAAGAUGGGCAUGCGUUCCAUUAGCUAGUUGGCGGGGUAACGGCCCACCAAGGCAACGAUGGAUAGGGGAACUGAGAGGUUUAUCCCCCACACUGGUACUGAGACACGGACCAGACUCCUACGGGAGGCAGCAGUGAGGAAUAUUGGUCAAUGGACGCAAGUCUGAACCAGCCACGUCGCGUGAAGGAAGACGGCCCUACGGGUUGUAAACUUCUUUUAUACGGGAAUAAAGUGCCCCACGCGUGGGGUUUUGCAUGUACCGUAUGAUAAGAUCGGCUAACU